GAUGAACGCUGGCGGCGUGCUUAACACAUGCAAGUCGAACGGAAAGGCUCCUGCUUGCAGGGGUACUCGAGUGGCGAACGGGUGAGUAACACGUGGGUGAUCUGCCCUGCACUUCGGGAUAACCCUGGGAAACUGGGUCUAAUACCGGAUAGGACGACGGUUUGGAUGGCGUUGUGUAAAGUUUUUCGGCGUGGGGUGAGCUCGCGGCCUAUCAGCUUGUUGGUGGGGUAAUGGCCUACCAAGGCGUCGACGGGUAGCCGGCCUGAGAGGGUGUACGGCCACAUUGGGACUGAGAUACGGCCCAGACUCCUACGGGAGGCAGCAGUGGGGAAUAUUGCACAAUGGGCGGAAGCCUGAUGCAGCGACGCCGCGGGGGGGAUGACGGCCUUCGGGUUGUAAACUCCUUUCGCCUGUGACGAAGCGCGAGUGACGGUACCGGGAGAAGAAGCACCGGCUAACUACGUG
rnacentral:rRNA from 1 species